rnacentral:lncRNA from 1 species
UAGAUAAACUAAAUAUGCCUGUGACUUAACUAACAGUCAGGUGACUCUUUAUAUUCUACUUAAAGCACCAUCCAUGUGCUAUGCUUUUCGCAUUUGCAUUUUUAAAACUAGAAUCUCUACCUCAUUAAAAAUGAAGUCUCUCUUGACAACAUUCAGUGUGCCUUCAUGCUAAUAAAUGUUUAUGCAUCGUCUUACCACCAGGGGGCAUUGUGGUUUGACUGUCCAUUUAAACAGCCCGCAGUCUAUCAGUUUACCCAGCAAAGAGGAGGCCUGGGCCUAUUUCUGAUUCCUUCCAAGAAGGAAUCGUAUCUGGAAGAGAACAGAUGUCGAUUCUUUUUCCUCACUAGCAAACGGUAGUGUUGUCAAAUUUGCUAAAUUUAGCAGUUGAAGAUUAACAUGCAGUAUAUAAUAUGCAUGUGCCUAACUGUACAAUAAAUAGUAAAUCACAUUUUUAUGCUUUCUCUGAACUUGGAAGCUGCAAG